CUACUGGAAACGGUAGCUAAUACCGCAUAACGUCGCAAGACCAAAGUGGGGGACCUUCGGGCCUCAUGCCAUCAGAUGUGCCCAGAUGGGUUUAGCUAGUAGGUGGGGUAACGGCUCACCUAGGCGACGAUCCCUAGCUGGUCUGAGAGGAUGACCAGCCACACUGGAACUGAUACACGGUCCAGACUCCUACGGGAGGCAGCAGUGGGGAAUAUAGCACAAUGGGCGCAAGCCUGAUGCAGCCAUGCCGCGUGUGUGAAGAAGGCCUUCGGGUUGUAAAGCACUUUCAGCGGGGAGGAAGGCGUUAAGGUUAAUAACCUCAUCGAUUG
rnacentral:rRNA from 1 species